rnacentral:rRNA from 1 species
UACGUAGGGGGCAAGCGUUGUCCGGAAUCAUUGGGCGUAAAGAGCGUGUAGGCGGCCAGAUAAGUCCGCUGUGAAAUCUCGAGGCUCAACUUCGAGCUGUCGGUGGAAACUGUCUGGCUAGAGUCCGGAAGAGGGUCGUGGAAUUCCCAGUGUAGAGGUGAAAUUCGUAGAUAUUGGGAAGAACACCGGUGGCGAAGGCGGCGACCUGGUCCGAUACUGACGCUGAGGCGCGAAAGCGUGGGGAGCAAACAGG